AUUUUUGAGGGUUUGAUCCUGGCCCAGGACGAACGCUAGCGGCGUACUUUAAGCAUGCAAGUCGAACGGUCCCACGUCGCUCCUUCGGGAGCUAUGCGGGAUAGUGGCGGACGGCUGAGUAAUACGUAGGAACGUACCCCAGAGUGAGGGAUAGCUUGCCGAAAGGCGGGGUAAUACCUCAUAUCAUCGCAAGAUGAAAGCCCUUUACGGGGCGCUCAGGGAACGGCCUGCGGCCUAUCAGCUAGUUGGUGGGGUAAUGGCCUACCAAGGCGAUGACGGGUAGGGGGUGUGAGAGCAUGACCCCCCAGAGUGGUACUGAGACACGGACCACACACCUACGGGUGGCAGCAACUGGGAAUCGUACGCAAUGGACGAAAGUCUGACGUCGUGACGCCGCGUGGGGGAUGAAGGCCUUCGGGUUGUAAACUCCUUUUGACCGAGUCGCAAGACCGGUAGAAUAAGUACCUGCUAACUCCGUGCCAGAAGCCUCGGUAAGACGGAGGGUGCAAGCGUUGUCCGGAUUUACUGGGCGUAAAGGGUCUGUAGGCGGUCUGCCGCGUUUUCUGUUAAAGACCAAGGCUUAACCUUGGCAAGCCAGAGAAUACGGGUAGACUUUGAGGAUCUCCGGAGAUGUUGGAACUUGCAGUGGAGGGGUGAAAUCCGUUGAUAUUGCAAGGAACACCAACGGCGAAGGCGGACAUCUAGGAGAUUCCUGACGCUGAGGGACGAAAGCUAGGGGAGCGAAAGGGAUUAGAGACCCCUGUAGUCCUAGCCGUAAACUAUGCUCGCCAGGGAUUGGUCUUUUGAUCAGUUCCAUAGCUAACGCGUUAAGCGAGCCGCCUGGGGAGUACGACCGCAAGGUUAAAACUCAAAGGAAUUGACGGGAGAGCGCACAACCAGUGGAUCAUGUUGUUCAAUUCGAUACAAACCGAAGAACCUUACCCAGACUUGACAUGCUACCGUUUACUUUUCUGGAAACAGAAGGGAAUUCGCCGCAAGGCGAAUGGUAACACAGGUGUUGCAUGGCUGUCGUCAGCUCGUGCCGUGGGGUGUCCUCUUAAGUGAGGGAACGAGCGCAACCCCUGCUAUAUGUUAAAUUGUUCAUAUGGGACUGCCCCGCCUUUUGGUGGGGAGGAAGGAGGGGACGAUGUCAAGUCCGCAUGGCCCUUAUGUCUGGGGCUACAAACAUGAUACAAUGGGGAGGACAAUGGGUUGCCAAGCCGCGAGGCGGAGCUAAUCCCACAAACCUCCUCUCAGUUGGGAUUGCAGGCUGAAAUUCGUCUGCAUGAACCUGGAAUUGGUAGUAAUCGCGGAUCAGAUAAGCCGCGGUGAAUACGUUCUCGCUCUUUGUACACACCGCCUAUGGUGCUUUGACGCACCAAAACGCGCGUGGCAGUUAUAUCUUCUAGUAGGUUAGAGUCCUACCUUC
rfam:Candidatus Blackburnbacteria bacterium RIFCSPHIGHO2_02_FTLL_44_20 rifcsphigho2_02_scaffold_4717, whole genome shotgun sequence.